UACGAAGGGGGCUAGCGUUGCUCGGAAUGACUGGGCGUAAAGGGCGCGUAGGCGGAUGGCACAGUCAGAUGUGAAAUUCCCGGGCUUAACCUGGGGGCUGCAUUUGAUACGUGUUGUCUUGAGUUCGGAAGAGGGUCGUGGAAUUCCCAGUGUAGAGGUGAAAUUCGUAGAUAUUGGGAAGAACACCGGUGGCGAAGGCGGCGACGUGGUCCGACACUGACGCUGAGGCGCGAAAGCGUGGGGAGCAAACAGG
rnacentral:rRNA from 1 species